rnacentral:rRNA from 1 species
CAGUAGCCACGGUAAUACAGAGGGUGCGAGCGUUAAUCGGAUUUACUGGGCGUAAAGCGUGCGUAGGCGGCUUCUUAAGUCGGAUGUGAAAUCCCUGAGCUUAACUUAGGAAUUGCAUUCGAUACUGGGAAGCUAGAGUAUGGGAGAGGAUGGUAGAAUUCCAGGUGUAGCGGUGAAAUGCGUAGAGAUCUGGAGGAAUACCGGUGGCGAAGGCGGCCCCCUGGACAAAGACUGACGCUCAGGUGCGAAAGCGUGGGGAGCAAACAGGAUUAGAUACCCCUGUAGUCCCUGUCUCUUAUAC